CCAACGGCCAUGACGGGAAAGAGUACGCCAUGAACUGUCGAUUGCAGAGAGCCGGUGGAGGGUGCAAACCGGCAUCGCGGCUGGCGGAAUGGGUCCCUGAGCCGGAAAUCGGAAAGCGGCCGGAUGCCGCCCAUGGUUUCCCGGUUGCUCCCCGUUACGGAGCUGUGAGGCUUCGCCGUCGCUUGUCCGGCAUGCGGCGUCGAAGCGAAUAAGGGUGGCACCACGGUCCCUCGUCCCUUGC
rnacentral:ncRNA from 1 species